UACGUAGGGUGCAAGCGUUGUCCGGAAUUAUUGGGCGUAAAGAGCUCGUAGGUGGCCUGUCGCGUCGGCUGUGAAAACUCGGGGCUCAACUCCGAGCUUGCAGUCGAUACGGGCAGGCUAGAGUUCGGCAGGGGAGACUGGAAUUCCUGGUAUAGCGGUGAAAUGCGCAGAUAUCAGGAGGAACACCGGUGGCGAAGGCGGGUCUCUGGGCCGAUACUGACACUGAGGAGCGAAAGCGUGGGGAGCGAACAGG
rnacentral:rRNA from 1 species